GCCUGGCGCAGGUGUUCCUGGAGCGUCAGAUUCUUCUCAAUCAAGUCCUGGUUUUGCACUGAAAGCUGAGCAGACAGAUGGCCUACCCUCCGUUACAGCCUGGACACCCUCCGUCACCUUUUGGAGCGAAUCACAUUGCUUCUGCCAGGACUCCAUUUCCACUUCUGGACCUUCUCCACUGGUCUCCUCCACAGACUGUUUAUCUUGCAGGCUGAAAGACAGUGGCCUCUUCAAGAACUAUGAAGUUAGAGACAAGUGGCUUUGAUUCUUGGUUCUGCUAUUUAUUGCACAUUUUGAGGCAAGACACUUAGUCCAAGCGGUAGCUGGGGAUAAUACUUAGGUCUGUUGUAAUAUAUGGGGUGCCACAGAAAAGUUGCUCAGUGUAUGUUAAUUCUCUUCCCUAGGGGCCAGAAUCUAUACAAUGUGACACCAAUUCUCUACCUGC